UACGUAGGGUGCGAGCGUUGUCCGGAAUUAUUGGGCGUAAAGAGCUCGUAGGUGGUUUGUUACGUCUGCUGUGAAAACCUAGGGCUUAACCCUGGGCUUGCAGUGGAUACGGGCAGACUAGAGGUAGGUAGGGGAGAAUGGAAUUCCUGGUGUAUCGGUGAAAUGCGCAGAUAUCAGGAGGAACACCGGUGGCGAAGGCGGUUCUCUGGGCCUUACCUGACACUGAGGAGCGAAAGCGUGGGGAGCGAACAGG
rnacentral:rRNA from 1 species